rnacentral:rRNA from 1 species
CCUACGGGAGGCAGCAGUAGGGAAUCUUCCGCAAUGGACGAAAGUCUGACGGAGCAACGCCGCGUGAACGAAGAAGGCCUUCGGGUCGUAAAGUUCUGUUGUUAGGGAAGAACAAGUACCAGAGUAACUGCUGGUACCUUGACGGUACCUGACCAGAAAGCCACGGCUAACUACGUGCCAGCAGCCGCGGUAAUACGUAGGUGGCAAGCGUUGUCCGGAAUUAUUGGGCGUAAAGCGCGCGCAGGCGGUUCCUUAAGUCUGAUGUGAAAGCCCACGGCUCAACCGUGGAGGGUCAUUGGAAACUGGGGGACUUGAGUGCAGAAGAGGAGAGUGGAAUUCCACGUGUAGCGGUGAAAUGCGUAGAGAUGUGGAGGAACACCAGUGGCGAAGGCGACUCUCUGGUCUGUAACUGACGCUGAGGCGCGAAAGCGUGGGGAGCAAACAGGAUUAGAUACCCUGGUAGUCCACGCCGUAAACGAUGAGUGCUAAGUGUUAGGGGGUUUCCGCCCCUUAGUGCUGCAGCUAACGCAUUAAGCACUCCGCCUGGGGAGUACGGCCGCAAGGCUGAAACUCAAAGGAAUUGACGG